rnacentral:ncRNA from 1 species
AGAAAGUUUUAUUUUAACUUGAAAUUUUGAUUUAUCAUUAUUUUAUAUGUGUUUUUUAUAUUAGAAAUGUUUUUUGCAGUAUUUAGUAUUAAAUAAUUAUUUAAGUAAGUUUUAGUAAUUGAUUUAAGAUCUAAUAAAAUUUGUGCCAGCAAUUGCGGUUAUACAAAUAGUUCAUUUAAAAUUUAUUGGUUAAUAAUUAAAUUUAUUUUUAUGAAUUUAUAAUUAAUAUUUUCAGGUGAAAUUUAAAUUUUAAUUUAUUUUUUCUUUUUUAAUUUGAAGUUAUUAAAGUUAGUAUUAAACUAGGAUUAGAUACCCUAUUAUUAUAACUGUAAAUUUAUCAUACCAGAUUAGUAUUAGUUAUUUUCUUGAAAAUUAAAAAAUUUGGCGGUAUUUUAGUCUAUUCAGAGGAACCUGUCCUGUAAUUGAUAAUCCACGAUUAGUUUUACUUUUUUUUCUCUUGUAUAUCGUUGUUUUUGAAUAUUUUAUAAGAAUUUAAAUUUUCAAUAAGUAUAUAUUAGUUUAUUUCAGAUCAAGAUGCAGAUUGUAAAAAAGAAGAGAUGGGUUACAAUAAAUUUAUUUUUGGUUUAAUUUUUUAAAUAAUUUUAUUAAAUUGGAUUUGAUAGUAAUAUUUUAUAUAUUUGAUAUAUGAUUUUAGCUCUAGAAUGUGUACAUAUUGCCCGUCGCUCUCAUAAUUUUGAGAUAAGUCGUAACAAAGUAGAUUUACUGGAAAGUGAAUCUAGGAUUAAAU